rnacentral:lncRNA from 1 species
GUAAGAAACUUCUACUUUAAAAAAAAAUAUUAUGUGAUCACAAUUCGGGGGCCAGGGGAACAUAUGCUUUUAAUUCCAGAAGUGGGGAUGCAGAGGCAGGAGGAUCUUCUGUGAGUUUGAGGUCAGCAGGUCUACAUAGUAAGGUUCUGGGCUAGCCAGAGUUAUACAGUAAGACCCUGCUUAUUAAAAAAAAAAAAAAAAGUCAUUUUUUUCCUCAGAACCCAAAACAUAUGUAUAUUUUAUUUUUUCUCCCCAUUGUAUUCCUAAGAAGGCAGCAUAGCAAAAAAUUUUAGAAAACAACACAAGGAAAAUAUAAAUUUCAUAUUCUCUACUCCUGCAUCGAGGACCAAAUCACAUUUUUUAAGGCUGUGCCCUCUAGAAGGUGAGAAUAAAGAAAUACAUCAAGAAUCUUUUAGAAGGUGGGUGUUUCUAAUACUGGAGUAUGCAGCAGUGUCCAUAAGAGUCUGUUACACUUGGCUUUUAUUUUUAUUUAUUUUUUGAGACAAGAUUUCUCUGUGUAGCCUUGGCUGUCUUAGAACUCACUUUGUUACCCAGGCUGGCCCACAACUCAGUUUCCCUUGCCUUUGCCUACCAAAUGCUGAGAUUAAAGGUAUGUACCUUUAAUCGCUGGCUUUCAUUUGGCUUUUAUGAAAGCAGGAGACAUGGCCUGAUAACUUCCUGAUGACAAUCAUCUUUAUCCUGUACCAGUGGUCUUGGUCCACUCAGUAACACCUUCUGUUGGUCAUGAAGGAAUCCAUAUAUAUGACUUCUGUUUAGAUAACUAAUGCAUAUCUUUUUAAGUGCCAAAAUUUAAAAAUUUCAGUUAUUUUUUUGAUGCAAGUCUCCUUAGGGAUGGUAGUCUACCUCCCUGCCUUUUUAAACAGCUUGCUCAGUCGAAUUCACUUCAUCAUGAAGUUAUAUUCAUGAUGUUUUAUUGCGCAUGCCCAGUGCGGUCUGGUCCACAUAAAACAGUAAAACAUUUCAUAGCACACAAAGGGCUAUAACAGAUUCGAGGAAUAUCCACCUAGUAAGUGAUUCCCUCAACGAUGGAAUUAUUUCCCUCAGUAUUAGCUUUAAAAAGUGUUUGAUGUCUGCAGAGUAAUGCAUUCUAUCAGUGUGCCUGUUUCUAACAGGCUCCCACUUUCUUCUGUGCUGUCUCCCAAGUUCUGGGCUGUGACAUGAACUGACCAGUUCUGGUCAGUGCCUACAAAAUAACUGGACCAAAGCUCCCAGUUAAAGGUGGGGCUCUAACCAAGUAAGGGGAGGAAGUAUGAGUAUACACUGCUGCUGCUGGAGUGGAGUGUGGUGAUGAUGAUGCCUCUGCAGGGAGGCAGGCCUUCAUCCUUUUAAGAGCAAAGAAGCGUGCAGAAGAGAAAGGAAGGAAAAGGAAAAUCGAGGUAGGCCGAAGACUCUGGGAGAUGGCACUGAAUAACCAUUAAAAUGUACUCUUGAUUACCAUGUUAAAGUCAGUUUAGUGACACUGUAGAGUAAGGCUGCACUAUGUGUACAUCCUCUGGAGAACUCGAGACUGUGUAUAUCCUGAGAACUGCACCCCUCCGAAUGGUAAUGGAAAUCAGCACCAAGAGGAAAGUCUCCAGUUUGCCUGUGUGCUGCUGUCUUGAGUUGUAAAUUACCUGAGAGAGGUUUAAUCAAAAGUCCCAGGGCCUGGAGAAACGGCUCAGCGGUUAAGAGCACUGGCUGCUCUUCCAGAGGUCCUGAGUUCAAUUCCCAGCAACCACAUGGUGGCUCACAACCAUCUGUAAUGGGAUCCAAUGCCCUCUUCUGGUGUGUCUGAAGACAGCUACAGUGUGCUCAUACAUAAUUAAUUUUAAAAAAAAAGUCCCAAGGAGCACAUCUCAUGCAGACAUUUUUUGAAUGUAUGUAUAUAUAAAUGUCACUGUAAGUGACGCUUACCCCUAAGAAUAAUAAAGUAACAUUCAGGAUUUAGAUCUGGUCCCAAUCUGUAUUUUCCCCUAUACAAAGAAUAGAUGUUUGAAUUUUCUUUUAAAUUUGGCUGCAUCCUUCAUUUCCAAACUCUGCUUCUUUUUUUGGGGGCGGGGGGCACAAAACUUUAGGUUUGUAUUUUUGGCAAGCUUGGAAUAUUCUAGUUAAUAUGCUGUCAGCUAGAACACUCUCUUAGCAGGUUCUAAGGUGCUAUUGGGUCUUCUGCUAGACUGUGCGCUCCUUGAGGGCAGGGCUAUCUUUAUUCUUGUAUCCACGGUGCCUGGGAUAGUAUCUGACAGAGUAGUUGUUCAAUAAAUAUCUGUUGAAUG